rnacentral:lncRNA from 12 species
AUUGACUAUACCCUUCCAGCAGCCAGGAGACACAGGCACUUUUGUAUAUGUGACUCACGUAGGUCAGGAUUCUAGAGCAAAAUGCAAGGUAGAAAAGGAGGAAAGUAUCUUACGGGACAAAGGCAGAAAUUCAGCACAGAGGGGAAAAUCUGUGAUGUCCUGGACAUCGGCCCCAAAGCCAUGCCCUACUUUUCCUCUCCAGAGCUCCAUUUCAACUCAGUCCCUAAUCAACUGGCAAGACAACAAGAGCUGCUGCUGCAGAUCCAACAAGUUCCAUCUACUUCAGAAAAGAUUUCGAAGCUGGAAUGUGGCUGGGAUUUGGCAAAAGCAGUGAAAAGGGUGAACAGCAACCAGACCUCCUGUCCCAAAGAGUAAGAACACGUCACUACCCUACUCCUAAUGAAGACCAUCUUCGUGGCUACUUUCUCACUCUCAGCCUAUUAGAGCAAUGGAUUUGUUCCAGAUGGGACAGCAUUUUAAUAAUGAUUGGAUUAAUUGAAUAUAAAACAUACAGGUGCUGUUCCAAAAAAAGGCAAGGAGGAAGCACAUUUUAAGUUUUCAAAUGUUGACACAAAGGACAGUCUUCCCUUCCAUUUAAUUAAACUUGUAAACAAACACCUAAAAUAUUCUGACCAGCAACGACAGCAGCUUUACAUCCGGCCUUCGUCUGGUUUAUUUUCACAGGCGUCUUCCCUAAGCUUUGAUCCAAGCUGAAGAUUUCUAGGGUCUGUUUUCUUGUCUCUUCCUGUUUACUUUUCUAACUACAUUGUCUUCUUCAGCAACCUGUUAUUUGCUGAGCUGUUGAACCUGUUUUGUCUUAAAUUAACUCCAACCAUCUGAGAAAAGAACAGCAGGUUCUAGAAAACACAAAGCCACAGUGAAAAGUAAUGUAGUGGAGAUGCUGGACAGGUGGCUGGGAAGGCAGCGAUAAUAAAGAAUAGGAAAGCCAAUUUGGAUAAAAUAGA